CGUUGUGAAACUGAAUCUGAAGGAAGUUGGGAGCAAAGUCUCGGCCUGAGGAAUACAAACUACAUACAAGGCUGAAAUGUGCUAGGUAAGUUUGCGUAACAAAACGAAGCCCUAAACUAUCUGAAACAGGUAGUGUAAAUGUAGCAGAUAUGUGGAGGGAAAGUAAG
rnacentral:ncRNA from 1 species